rnacentral:rRNA from 1 species
AUUGAACGCUGGCGGCAGGCCUAACACAUGCAAGUCGAGCGGUAGAGAGGUGCUUGCAUCUCUUGAGAGCGGCGGACGGGUGAGUAAUGCCUAGGAAUCUGCCUAGUGUGGGGGAUAAACGUUCGGAAACGGACGCUAAUACCGCAUACGUCCUACGGGAGAAAGCGGGGGAUCUUCGGACCUCGCGCCAUUAGAUGAGCCUAGGUCGGAUUAGCUAGUUGGUGAGGUAAUGGCGUCACCAAGGCGACGAUCCGUAACUGGUCUGAGAGGAUGAUCAGUCACACUGGAACUGAGACACGGUCCAGACUCCUACGGGAGGCAGCAGUGGGGAAUAUUGGACAAUGGGCGAAAGCCUGAUCAGCCAUGCCGCGUGUGUGAAGAAGG